GAGGAAGGAGUUCGGGGACACUG
rnacentral:piRNA from 1 species